GAUGAACGCUGGCGGCGUGCCUAAUACAUGCAAGUCGAGCGAACGGACGAGAAGCUUGCUUCUCUGAUGUUAGCGGCGGACGGGUGAGUAACACGUGUAUAACCUACCUAUAAGACUGGGAUAACUUCGGGAAACCGGAGCUUAUCCCGGAUGAUAUUUUGAACCGCAUGGUUCAAAAGUGAAAGACGGUCUUGCUGUCACUUAUAGAUGGAUCCGCGCUGCAUUAGCUAGUUGGUAAGGUAACGGCUUACCAAGGCAACGAUGCAUAGCCGACCUGAGAGGGUGAUAGGCCACACUGGAAGUGAGACACGGUCCAGACUCCUACGGGAGGCAGCAGUAGGGAAUCUUCCGCAAUGGGCGAAAGCAUGACGGAGCAACGCCGCGUGAGUGAUGAAGGUCUUCGGAUCGUAAAACUCUGUUAUUAGGGAAGAACAUAUGUGUAAGUAACUGUGCACAUCUUGACGGUACCUAAUCAGAAAGCCACGGCUAACUACGUG
rnacentral:rRNA from 1 species